rnacentral:rRNA from 1 species
CCUACGGGCGGCAGCAGUGGGGAAUAUUGGACAAUGGGGGCAACCCUGAUCCAGCCAUGCCGCGUGUGUGAAGAAGGCCCUCGGGUUGUAAAGCACUUUCAGUGAGGAAGAACGCCUGGUGGUUAAUACCCAUCAGGAAAGACAUCACUCACAGAAGAAGCACCGGCUAACUCCGUGCCAGCAGCCGCGGUAAUACGGAGGGUGCGAGCGUUAAUCGGAAUUACUGGGCGUAAAGCGCGCGUAGGUGGCUUGAUAAGCCGGUUGUGAAAGCCACGGGCUCAACCUGGGAACGGCAUCCGGAACUGUCAAGCUAGAGUGCAGGAGAGGAAGGUAGAAUUCCCGGUGUAGCGGUGAAAUGCGUAGAGAUCGGGAGGAAUACCAGUGGCGAAGGCGGCCUUCUGGACUGACACUGACACUGAGGUGCGAAAGCGUGGGUAGCAAACAGGAUUAGAUACCCUAGUAGUC